rnacentral:rRNA from 1 species
AGUGAACGCUGGCGGUAGGCCUAACACAUGCAAGUAGAACGGCAGCACAGUAAGAGCUUGCUCUUACGGGUGGCGAGUGGCGGACGGGUGAGGAAUACAUCGGAAUCUACUUUUUCGUGGGGGAUAACGUAGGGAAACUUACGCUAAUACCGCAUACGACCUACGGGUGAAAGCAGGGGAUCUUCGGACCUUGCGCGAUUGAAUGAGCCGAUGUCGGAUUAGCUAGUUGGCGGGGUAAAGGCCCACCAAGGCGACGAUCCGUAGCUGGUCUGAGAGGAUGAUCAGCCACACUGGAACUGAGACACGGUCCAGACUCCUACGGGAGGCAGCAGUGGGGAAUAUUGGACAAUGGGCGCAAGCCUGAUCCAGCCAUACCGCGUGGGUGAAGAUGGCCUUCGGGUUGUAAAGCCCUUUUGUUGGGAAAGAAAAGCAGCAGGUUAAUACCCCGCUGUUCUGACGGUACCCAAAGAAUAAGCACCGGCUAACUUCGUG